AGGGCCACACCUGUGGUGUAUGGAAGUUCCUCCCAGGCUAGGGGUCGAAUUGGAGCUGCAGCUGCCAGCUUACACCACAGCCAUAGCAAUACCAGAUCUGAGGCAUGUCUGCAAACUAAACCAUACCUCAUGGCAAUGCCAUAUCCUUAACCCACUGAGCAAGGCCUGGGAUUGAACCCGCAUCCUCAUGGAUACUAGAUGGAUUCAUAACCUGCUGAGCCACAGUAGGAACUCCCACAAUGCUGGAUUUUUAACCCACUGUACCACAACGGAAACUCUGAAAGGGGCACGAUUCUUAUCUGCUGUGACUACGGCAUCUGUAAUAGCUCCCAGUGAAGUGCUCACCCUCUUGGGCCUCACUUAGUGAGACUAUUGUGCUUUUUGUUUUGUCUCUUUGCCUAUACUUUCCUGAUCUUUCUCUUUCCGGGGCCCUUUCUCUCUAGUCAAUAAUGUAGCUCAUCUCACUGAAACCAGGGUGCUUGCAAGGGUGAGGUAAUGAGAGUUUCAUUUUCCUCUGCUUACCUGGCAGUCAAGGGGGGACUUGUGGGCCACAAAUUGUUCCUGUUAUUACACACAACAGGUUAUACCAUAGGUCACAGAAGCUAUUUAAGAUUCAAAUUAUUUACCCUUUGAACCAAGUUCUGUAAAUGUAAAGCAACUGUCUUUGAAGGUUACAUAAGAAAAUAAUGGUAUGCAUGUACUGUCUUUGGUUACAUAAGAAAGAUGGGAUGGUCUGAUAAUCAUUGUGUUGUGAGUCACAAAUUUUUAUGUACCUGGAAGAACAGCUCCCAUACCUACUUUUGUAAUUUGUGAUGUGAGAAUAAUGAACCAUCUUGCUGCCUCCCUUCUCUCAAAGAGAAUAACAAAGAAUAGCUAGCCUUAAAAUAUGGUUUGAGAAACAAUAGUUUCAGAAUUUCAGUCAGGUCUUUGCACAGCCAUUGGUUGGCAAUCAGGCACCAAUUACUCCAUUGCUUAAGAGGACAGGAUCCAUUGUCCCAUUUUUCUCUACAUAUGAGGCCACUAAACGUGGUUUAGAAGGAAAGUAAACAAGGCCUUUCACCAUUCUGCAUAAUAAGAUGAAAUACUAUUCUUAGGGUUGGCAUAAAUUUGUGCAGAUUACAUUUAGGGGAAUAUUUCCCUUCCUGAUUAUGACCUUCCUAAACUGACCAUGCUGUCUCUGAAAAUAAAGUUUUCAGGGAGCAGUAAGCUUGUGUAUGUGUGUGCCUAUGUACACACAUGUGAGUGUGUGUGUGUGUGUGUGUGUAGCAAUGCCAUCUAGGACUGUUUCGUGGAUGCAAAGAUGUAAACCCCUUUUGAAUGGGCAGGCCAGUGGUGAAGACCUUUAGACCACAGAUUGUCCCUAACUACUCUCCUCUCCUCUCCUCUGAGGAUCUUUUCCAUCAUAAUAAUCCCUAUCCCUGCCUGAACAAUUGAUUUUGGGUGAAAGAGUCUGUGAAUUAUUGUAUGUCAGAACAUACACUAGGGGGCAGGAAGUGAGUCCCUGAGAGUAGGCAGUAGGGCACCUGAGGGUACCUUUUGAAAGGCUGGCAGGGGUGGGGUGAGGAUUUAUACUAUGGAGGAUUUAAGAAAGAGGCAUGAACCUGAAGGGAGACAACCAUAGCAAGGAACUAGCUGUGCC
ensembl:lncRNA